rnacentral:rRNA from 1 species
UACGUACCGUACGAACGUUAUUCGGAAUCACUGGGCUUAAAGAGUUCGUAGGCGGCUUGGCAAGUUGGGUGUGAAAUCCCUCGGCCUAACCGAGGAACUGCAUUCAAAACUGGCGGGCUUGAGGAAGACAGAGGUGAGCGGAACUCACGGUGGAGCGGUGAAAUGCGUUGAUAUCGUGAGGAACACCGGUGGCGAAAGCGGCUCACUGGGUCUUUUCUGACGCUGAGGAGCGAAAGCUAGGGGAGCAAACGGG